rnacentral:rRNA from 1 species
GACGAACGCUGGCGGCGUGCUUAACACAUGCAAGUCGAACGGAGAUUAUUAAUGAAGCUUGCGAUUUAAUAAUCUUAGUGGCGGACGGGUGAGUAACGCGUGGGCAACCUACCCAUAAGAGGGGGAUAACAGCUGGAAACGGCUGCUAAUACCGCAUAAACUUUUUAAGACCCAUGUUUUAAAAAGGAAAGGUGGCGCAAGCUAUCGCUUAUGGAUGGGCCCGCGUCUGAUUAGCUAGUUGGUGGGGUAACGGCCUACCAAGGCAACGAUCAGUAGCCGGCCUGAGAGGGUGGACGGCCACACUGGGACUGAGACACGGCCCAGACUCCUACGGGAGGCAGCAGUGGGGAAUAUUGCGCAAUGGGGGAAACCCUGACGCAGCGACGCCGCGUGAGCGAAGAAGGCCUUAGGGUUGUAAAGCUCUGUUCUAUGGGACGAAGUCCUUGACUGUGAAUAAUGGUCAAGGUUGACGGUACCAUAGGAGGAAGCCCCGGCUAACUACGUGCCAGCAGGCGCGGU